GGCGAUGUGGUCCAGUAGCAACGACAGCGGACUGUAAAUCCGCCACCGAAAGGUUUCAGAGGUGCAAGUCCUUUCGUCGCCA
rnacentral:tRNA from 1 species